CCCUACGGGGGGCAGCAGUGGGGAAUAUUGCACAAUGGGGGAAACCCUGAUGCAGCGACGCCGCGUGAGUGAAGAAGUAAUUCGUUAUGUAAAGCUCUAUCAGCAGGGAAGAAAAUGACGGUACCUGAGUAAGAAGCCCCGGCUAACUACGUGCCAGCAGCCGCGGUAAUACGUAGGGGGCAAGCGUUAUCCGGAUUUACUGGGUGUAAAGGGAGCGUAGACGGCAGGGCAAGUCUGGAGUGAAAGGCAGGGGCCCAACCCCUGGACUGCUCUGGAAACUGUCCGGCUGGAGUGCAGGAGAGGUA
rnacentral:rRNA from 1 species